GAUGAACGCUGGCGGCGUGCCUAAUACAUGCAAGUCGAGCGAACAGAUGAGGAUCUUGCUCCUCUGACGUUAGCGGCGGACGGGUGAGUAACACGUGGAUAACCUACCUAUAAGACUGGGAUAACUUCGGGAAACCGGAGCUAAUACCGGAUAAUAUAUUGAACCGCAUGGUUCAAUAGUGAAAGACGGGUUUGCUGUCACUUAUAGAUGUAUCCGCGCCGCAUUAGCUAGUUGGUAAGGUAACGGCUUACCAAGGCAACGAUGCGUAGCCGACCUGAGAGGGUGAUCGGCCACACUGGAACUGAGACACGGUCCAGACUCCUACGGGAGGCAGCAGUAGGGAAUCUUCCGCAAUGGGCGAAAGCCUGACGGAGCAACGCCGCGUGAGUGAUGAAGGUCUUCGGAUCGUAAAACUCUGUUAUUAGGGAAGAACAAAUGUGUAAGUAACUAUGCACGUCUUGACGGUACCUAAUCAGAAAGCCACGGCUAACUACGUG
rnacentral:rRNA from 1 species